GCAGUCGACGGCAGCACAGUGUAGCAAUACAUGGGUGGCGAGUGGCGCACGGGUGCGUAACACGUAUGCAAUUUGCCCAUAACUGGGGGAUAGCCCUCCGAAAGGAGGAUUAAUACCCCAUAACCCAGCGAGGUGGCAUCACCUUUCUGGUAAAUCUCCGGAGGUUAUGGAUGAGCAUGCGUCCGAUUAGCUAGUUGGUGAGGUAACGGCUCACCAAGGCAACGAUCGGUAGGGGGUCUGAGAGGAUGAUCCCCCACACGGGUACUGAGACACGGACCCGACUCCUACGGGAGGCAGCAGUAAGGAAUAUUGGACAAUGGAGGCAACUCUGAUCCAGCCAUGCCGCGUGAAGGAUGAAGGCCCUACGGGUUGUAAACUUCUUUUCUCUUAGAAAAAACUACUGGUUUCGUACCGGUACUGAUUGUACAAGAGGAAUAAGCAUCGGCUAACUUCGUGCCAGCAGCCGCGGUAAUACGAAGGAUGCAAGCGUUAUCCGGAUUCACUGGGUUUAAAGGGUGUGCAGGUGGGGUAAUAAGUCAGUGGUGAAAGCCCCCGACUCAAUCGGGGAACUGCCAUAGAUACUGUUAUUCUUGAGUGUAGUUGAGGCGGAUGGAAUAUGACAUGUAGCGGUGAAAUGCUUAGAUAUGUCAUAGAACACCGAUCGCGAAGGCAGUCCGCCAAACUAUUACUGACACUGAAACACGAAAGUGCGGGGAUCAAACAGGAUUAGAUACCCUGGUAGUCCGCACCGUAAACGAUGAUCACUCGUUGUUGGCGAUACACAGUCAGCGACUAAGCGAAAGCAUUAAGUGAUCCACCUGGGA
rnacentral:rRNA from 1 species